rnacentral:rRNA from 1 species
GACGAACGCUGGCGGCAUGCCUAACACAUGCAAGUCGAGCGAGGUGAUUCCUUCGGGAUGAACCUAGCGGCGGACGGGUGAGUAACACGUGGGCAACCUGCCUCAUAGAGGGGAAUAGCCUCCCGAAAGGGAGAUUAAUACCGCAUAAGAUUGCACUUUCGCAUGAAAGAGCAAUUAAAGGAGCAAUCCGCUAUGAGAUGGGCCCGCGGCGCAUUAGCUAGUUGGUGAGGUAACGGCUCACCAAGGCGACGAUGCGUAGCCGACCUGAGAGGGUGAUCGGCCACAUUGGGACUGAGACACGGCCCAGACUCCUACGGGAGGCAG